rnacentral:sRNA from 1 species
AAAAAAAAUGCUAAAUAUACAUGAAAAUGUGAAAACAUGUUGGAUUUGUGGAAUCGCUAAUAACCACGGUUCAAUGGCGGGAUCCAAAAUCCGGUUAGAUUUCACAACAUCAUAUUAAUUUAAUAUUUAUAUAACCUUUUAAAAAAAGAGU